rnacentral:rRNA from 1 species
GACGAACGCUGGCGGCGUGCCUAAUACAUGCAAGUAGAACGCACAGGAUACACCGUAGUUUACUACACCGUAUUCUGUGAGUUGCGAACGGGUGAGUAACGCGUAGGUAACCUGCCUGGUAGCGGGGGAUAACUAUUGGAAACGAUAGCUAAUACCGCAUAAGAACAUUUACUGCAUGGUAGAUGUUUAAAAGGUGCAAAUGCAUCACUACCAGAUGGACCUGCGUCGUAUUAGCUAGUAGGUGAGGUAACGGCUCACCUAGGCGACGAUACAUAGCCGACCUGAGAGGGUGAUCGGCCACACUGGGACUGAGACACGGCCCAGACUCCUACGGGAGGCAGCAGUAGGGAAUCUUCGGCAAUGGGGGGAACCCUGACCGAGCAACGCCGCGUGAGUGAAGAAGGUUUUCGGAUCGUAAAGCUCUGUUGUUAAGGAAGAACGAGUGUGAGAAUGGAAAUGUUCAUAC